GCAUGGGUGGUUCAGUGGUAGAAUUCUCACCUGCCACGGGGGAGGCCUGGGUUCCAUUCCUAGCCCAUGCA